AACUGUGUGCGGUGGAUCACUCGGCUCGUGUGUCGACGAAGAGUGCAGCCAACUGUGUGAAUUAAUGUGAAUCGCAGACUGCUUUGAACAUCGACAUCUUGAACGCAUAUUGCGGCUAUAGGCUUGCC
rnacentral:rRNA from 1 species